UAUGUUGUUUUAGGAAAGGUUUAGGUUACUCUGGUUGGUGUAGGUGGUGAGGUAAGUUCAUUAGAGGCUCAUUAGUGAAGUUCAAAGGGUUAAUUAGGCCUUAAUUGCCUCUAAUUAAUGUCUGAGGUUUAGUUCAGGUUUUUGUUGUUUUAGGAAAGGUUUAGGUUACUUUGGUUGGUGUAGGUGGUGAGGUAAGUUCAUUAGAGGCUCAUUAGUGAAGUUCAAAGGGUUAAUUAGGUCUUAAUUGCCUCUAAUUAAUGUCUGAGAAGGUUUAGUUCAGGCUUAUGUUGUUUUAGGAAAGGUUUAGGUUACUCUGGUUGGUGUAGGUGGUGAGGUAAGUUCAUUAGAGGCUCAUUAGUGAAGUUCAAAGGGUUAAUUAGGUCUUAAUCGCCUCUAAUUAGUGUUGAAAAGGUUUAGUUCAGGUUUAUGUUGUUUUAGGAAAGGUUUAGGUUACUUUGGUUGGUGUAGGUGGUGAGGUAAGUUCAUUAGAGGCUCAUUAGUGAAGUGCAAAUGGUUAAUUAGGUCUUAAUUGCCUCUAAUUAAUGUCUGAGAAGGUUUAGUUCAGGUUUUUGUUGUUUUAGGAAAGGUUUAGGUUACUUUGGUUGGUGUAGGUGGUGAGGUUAGGUUCAUUAGAGGCUGAAUUUGAGGUGGAACGAUGUGAGUCGGCGUGGUUCAGUGUGGCUUCGAGUAAAUGUUUCGAAGUAGUUUCCAAAGGGAUUCGGUACCAAGCGGCUGACGUACUUAAGUGAACUAACUUUACUUAACUUCACUUGACAAAGCUUCACAUAACUUCACUUAACUUCACAUUUAACACAGAACUUCACAAAACUUUACAUAACUUCACUGUCAAAACUUCAGAUAACUUGACAUAACUUCACAAAACUUCACAGAACUUCACUUGACAUAAAUUGACUUAGCAAAUUAAGAGUUUGGCAGGCUGGGCGGGUUAUUCUAUGAUGUUUUAGUAGGCUAGAAUUGUUUUACGGAAGAAGGUAGAAUAAGGGAGGGGUGGUGAGGGGCAGGGAAGUCUUCGAUGUGCUUCAAGUGCUUUGAAUCAAUGUCUCGGAGGUUUUGGUAAAGAUUCACUGAGUGUAGAGAUGAGCUUACGGUACUUGUUAUCAGGUAGCCUACUUAACAUCAUCCUUUGGGAGUAACACAUGCUUGGGGUGUUUACAGUAAAUUAGGGUAAAUGUAUAGUUUAGCUCCACCUCUUCAAAAUCUCAUAUACGUGUUGAUAUUAGGGUAAAAUACACUCUCUCUCUCUCUCUCUCUCUCUCUCUCUCUCUCUCUCUCUCUCUCUCUCACACACACACCUGGUCUUAGGACAUUAAUAGGCUAUCCAACACUUCAUAUCUAUUUUCUUAACAGUAUAACGUAUAACAGUAUAGCGUCACAGCCACGUCCAAGGCACAUACGAUAGUUGAUAUAACGAACUCUGUAGAAAACGGGAUUAACAUGUCUAAUAAAUAAUAGUUACGCUGUAUUUGAGUAAAGGAGAUGAACUUUCAAGAUAAGUCAAUGAAUAAAAAUAGAUGGAUAGUUAAAGAAGAAUGAGUUACACAGUGUUAGAAAAUAGCAAAGUAAAUGUCAACGAAAA